rnacentral:misc_RNA from 1 species
GAUGAAGAACGUAGCGAAAUGCGAUAAGUAAUGUGAAUUGCAGAAUUCAGUGAAUCAUCGAAUCUUUGAACGCACAUUGCGCCCCUUGGUAUUCCGAGGGGCAUGCCUGUUCGAGCGUCAUUAUAACCCUCAAGCUCAGCUUGGUGUUGGGGCCUGCUGCACUGGCAGCCCUUAAAAUCAGUGGCGGCGCCAUCUGGCUCUAAGCGUUGUAAUUCUUCUCGCUAUGGAGUCCUGGUGGAUGCUUGCCAUCAACCCCCAAUUUUUCUAUGGUUGACCUCGGAUCAGGUAGGGAUACCCGCUGAACUUAAGCAUAUCAAUAAGCGGAGA